UUCUGUGAGCAUCGCCAACUAGUGAAGCCUUUUGCAGGAGCUGUCUACAGAACUUUUUCAGAUUUGCAGGGCAAAGUGAUUUUCAAAUAAUUCAUUUCAAAUCUGAGUCUCUCUUUAUUGGAACUCCCAUGAUCUCAAAGAUUUUGUUGAGGGGAUAGUUGAUAUGAUCGAGCGGGUGAUGUUGGGAGCCAAAGAUUAUGUUGCUCUUUUUUUUUUUUUUUGAAGACUUGAAUUUUUUAGUACAGUGUAUUUAAGGAUGGUUAAUGGAUAAUGUCUAUUAUAAAUUUAAUUAAUUUGUUAAUUUUGUUAUUUUUCAUUAACAAAAAAUUGUUUGGUGCUUGUAA